ensembl:lncRNA
CAGUAUUUGUCAGAGAGGGGAAUUCGAUCACCAUUUAUACGUGUGACAUUUAAGCUGUUCAGCUUUUCCCUUUUCCUCUUGACACAAUACAUCGUUUCGAGGGCACCUCUGUACUUAUGAGAGAAGUUUAAGCCAUGUAUCAUCGGAUGCUGAAACAUUACUCAUUAGGAACAAAAGAUGACCACAAAAUUUCAGAGGAAUCAAUUUGCCAGUUUAGGAAACAAGUGCUUAAAGUUACUUCUCUUUUCCCUUCUUACUCAUGAAGUGAAUUGGUCUUAAGUUUCUUUUGAGUCAAUUAACUGAUUAAUUCACCACUAAGAUUCAGUCACCAGAGUGAUUUGUACAUGAGCAAGGUGAAAUCAUUCUCAACUGUUGACCAAAUGAGUUUCAGACAUAUGUGAAGAUCAGCCUCCAGUCUGGUUGUUUAUUGGAUACUAGUAUUUUGCAUUUCAACUAACGUAGUUCUCUUUCAGCUUUUUAAAUGACCAUUUACACAAAGAAGCUAAGGAGGGAAAAGACCAGUCAAUUCCUCCAAUCCACGCAUGGAUGCUCCAAGCACCAUCUGUCCCCCCAUACCAGGCAAAGGUGUAAGGCCUGACUUUCAGAUAGCAAAUUGCUUUGGUUUUCUUCCCAAAUUCCUAUUGAAGUAGCAUUCUCCGAAUACCCGGGAGACAGGUGUUCUCCCAGACCAAGACGAUCUGGUGGUUGAGCAGCGAAGUACUCUGUAAGCCAACACCGCCUUCCCCAGCCUUCUGACCACCAAGCCCCUAGAAGAGGGAGUGCAGGGAGACGGAUGGCAGCCUGAACACAGAAAACAGCCCCGGUUGGCAGACCCUUCCUCAGCAAUUCCCCCCUCAGCCUCAUGCUUCACUUGCAAAGUGUGAUGUAACCACGGGACGAGUGCCUUGCUUGAACCAAAGCAACGAUUUAGCCAGUCUGGACUUCUCUGUGCUUUUUUUUAAUCCUUCCUGUGAAUACCUCAGCUUCCACUGGGCCUCCAUACAGUAAAUUGGUGGGCUUAUUGUACUGUGGUGCUUUGCAAUGCAACCCUGCAAACAACGAGAUUUGUACUAAUACCAAAGGUUCUUUCUCUGUCUCUCCUCUGCCUCCCCUGUUCUUCUCCCUUUUCUAGUUCUUCACGGUUCCAAAGCUUUAAUAUGAACCUGGGCAUGUUGGCAAUGCAGACCGCGCAAUUCCUUACCGAAUUUUCUCAGAUAUACCUCAUAGAUAAUAGUGUUUAGAGUAAUGUUAUUAUAGCGUAUGUAAUAAAUUAUUCACUGUUUCUUUUGGUAACUGUGAUUUAAAAAAAGAAAAAAGAAAAAAAAAAAAGCUUUAUACGUUUUAGGUUGUGCUUUUGUAAUAGAUGAAAAGGUGAGCUUAAAAAAAAAUGUAUGGUUUUCACCCCCCCCCCUUUGAAUUUUAUUUAUUCUGGAUUGGGGAAAGUUGCAGAAUGAGCCCAAAGUUUACAGUUUCAUAUUUUGCUGAAGAAACAAUCUGUGUUCAUUUGCUCUGUUGAAAAAAAAAAUUUAUUAUUUUCUACAUUUGUGCUACUUGGUCUGAACAAUUAAUUGUUCUGUGUUAACAGUGUAGUAUUAUAAUUAGCAACUGCCAAUCAGUGCUAUAAUUUUAUGCAUGAGGCUAAAAAUUUAGCAGUGUGAUGCAUUGUGGUCUUAAAUAGCAACGGUUUUCAUUUUGAACUAGAUCUUCCCCUUUGGUUCAUGGACUUGAUGUAUGCAUGGGCGCCAAAUUGUUCAUUAGUGGUUGUGGAACGGUUGUGUAUACAUUAAACUGUGAAAAUGUACACAGUUCAGCCUCAGACAGUGGUAAUAUUGGUUUUAUUGGGAGCUGUCUCACCUCGAAAAUACCUUGACCUCUGUUGGGAUUUCAAACCGAGUCAGACUCAAUCGAGUUCACGUGCGAGGAGAAGGGUCGUUCCGAGUCUGAGCUCGCCACCUCGCAUCCCCCAGAUUCUCAUAACCCAUUAUCUCACGCCAUGCGAGAGGAGCUUGGAAACGAGCACUGAAAAACAGCUCUGCAUCUUAAGUUCCCACAAGAGAGUCCUUUUGACUUUCUGCUCCUGACCUCAGACAUAACUGGCCACCUGUAUGGAGAUGCAGAUCGACCCAGGACUCGCCUCUCCUGGGUCUUUGCUUGGGGAUGGCCACUUCGUGCUCGAUUUCCUAGAAGAAGACUGGAGUAUUCUGUCAGGGCAGUUCAGAUGGCGUCAGUAUCAUUCAUUGUUCUCUGGGUUCUCUGUCCCUUUUCCUGGACAACGCCACCAGCUGUUCCAGUUUUUGGGGGGCAAAGAUAGAUGGCCAUUCCUAAAAGCUUCACCUGUGCACCCAUAUCAUGGAUUUUCCUCCCUAGAGUGAGAGAUGGUUCUAGCUUACUCUUUUCUGCCCAACAAUGUUGCAUCUAUCCUAAAGCGGGUAUAAGAAGUUUUGAAACCUAGUUUAGUAAAACCUUCUUUGUAUAAACUCCCUAAUUAUCUGAGGCCCCUAUAUUUCUCAAAAAGUAUUUUCACUUGCAGUGGAUUGGGCAAACUCGUUCUUUCUUAUUUUGGGUCCCGAGGCCCAUUCUCAAGUUUCAUACCUAUUCCCCCAGUCAACAUGCUUGACAUAAAACCAAAUCAGUUGCCAAGCACACUUUGUUUUGCAUAGGAGUGCAGCUUAGGAAACAGCAGUGGGAAGGCCGCAGCCCGCUCUGCAAAAUGUUGGAAAUCACCCCACGGUAGCACAUUGAUAUGACCAUCCAUGAGAAUAUACUGAAAAUGCGCUUUCAUUAAUAAUGCCAAGAAACAUUUUAUUUGGCCUUAUAAAGUAGAUCGUGAUAAUGAAAGCUUUGUAAUAGAUAGUCUUGAUUUCUUCCCUUAUUAAUCUGCCAAAGACAGGAAUGGAUACAAGAAUUUUAAGUCGAUUUUUGUUGACCAUUUAUGAUUGUAAUCGUGUUUAAUCUUCCAGAAAGCUUUCUAUGUUCUUCCGCCGUAAAACCAAAUGGAUGUUUCAGUCAAGUUCUCCUCACCCUCACAAACCUACACACGAAUCCUUUCGAAGCAGGUAUUGUAGAAUCUACGAAAUUCAAAUGUAUUUUAAUCCGAAGUAAACAGAGGAGUGUCUGAGACAUGAGUGUGCCCAACAGUUUUUAUUAUGAGAGACGCAUGGGUCUGGCUUAUUAACUAGCAUUUGCCAAGAAGACUUGUCUUAUGAAACUCGAGGUAUAUUUUGUUAUGCCAUUUUAUGUCCUUUUUUUUAAAAAAAAAAAACUUUGUGGAAAGUGAUAUGUUGAAUCAAGUGUAAGCUGAGUUUUCCAGACAACUGAAGUAGCUACAUCGUGAAUGUUAUUUUGUUAUUAAAGGGUUUUUACUCAAUGCUUGUGCCAGUGGAUGUCCUUUUCCUUGGAGACACAGAACUAUGGAAGUGCCUCACCUGGGCCUGGGUUUCCCUCCUGCUCUCUUGGGGACAUGUGGGCCUGGCCUGGGAAAGGAAGGUCAUGG